GAAAGGCUUAUUUUGGCUGAGGAAAGGGACUGUGGUGGCUGGCUGAUAUGAAUCACAGACCAGACAAAGCAGGCUAUAUGCGAAGGAAUGAAUUUAAGGCACCACUGAUUUCUGGGCAAUACCACGGAAGCUCCAGAGAUCUAGGAAAUGGAAAGUGUUGUGUAUUCCUGAUCUUGUCAAUUCAAGCUCUGGAAAGAAGCUCCCAGAAACAGGUUCAUGCUGGAUCUCAUCAGAGAACAUUAGUGAUGAAGACAGAAGUAAUUAGAAGUCAUACAGAGCAAGCUAAAAUGAUACUCAUUAAAUCUUCCAAGAAAGAAAAUGCACACUUUUGGAAAGGCAGAAAAAAGGACAGUCCAGGAGACCUCCUUCCAGUAAGAUAUGAUAAACAUGGACACCUGAGAAGAAGGUAUAAAGAUAUAAAAAGAAACAAGGCAAUGACAUCUUGUAAUCCCAAUAAAACAGUAGGAA
rnacentral:lncRNA from 11 species